rnacentral:ncRNA from 1 species
UAUUAUUGGCAAAGUGCUGUCUGCGGAGAGAACAGGCGGAUCGUAAAGACGCCGUAAAUCCCUCCCUGGAGGCUCGAGCCGCGCCAUCCCUGGCGCGGA